rnacentral:lncRNA from 1 species
GCCUUUGCCGGCCCCGCGGCACCAGAAGUUGGGCUGGUCCAGGAGGAACGAGUCCGAGAACUGGCUGAAGCCGAUGAACAGCGCCGGGAUCCAGGUACCCUACGCGAAGGAAGGAUCAUUGCACCAUUACGGAGACGAGGAUACAAACUGUCAGGCCUCUGAGCCCAAGCUAAGCCAUCACAUCUCCUGUGACCUGCACAUAUACAUCCAGAUGACCUGAAGCAAAUGAAGAACCACAAAAAAUAACAUUCCACCAUUGUGAUCUGUUCCUACCCACCCUAACUGAUCAAUUGACCUUAUGACAAUACCCCCUCCCCGCCCUUGCAAUAAUAUACUUUGUCAUACUCCCCCGCCCUUAAGAAGGUACUUUGUAAUAUUCUCCCCGCCCUUGAGAAUGUACUUUGUGAGAUCCACCCCCUGCCUAUAAAAAAUUGCUCCUAACUCCACCGCCUAUCCCAAACCUAUAAGAACUAAUGAUAAUCCCAGCACCCUUUGCUGACUCCUUUCUUGGACACAGCCUGCUUGCACCCAGGUGAAAUAAACAGCCUUGUUGCUCACACAAAGC